rnacentral:tRNA from 1 species
GCCCGGGUGGUGGAAUUGGUAGACACUUCAGACUUAAAAUCUGCUGGUCCUGAGGACCGUGCCGGUUCAAAUCCGGCCCCGGGUACUA